GUGCAUGGGCUUCUCACUGCGAUGGCUUCUCUUGUUGCGGAGCACGGGCUCUAGGGGCAUGAGCUUCAGUAGUUGUGGCAUGCAGCCAAGUUGUGGCUUGCGGGCUCUAGAGUGCAGGCUCAGUAGUUGUGGUGCACAGGCUUAGUUGCUCCGUGGCAUGUGGAAUCUUCCUGGACCAGAGCUCAAACCCGUGUCCCCUGCAUUGGCAGGCAGAUUCUUAACCACUGUGCCACCAGGUAUUAAACUGCCUGACUUUUGCAUCUACUCUUUCUCACCUGUGUUGUUUAAAUCCUUCCGUUGGUAGAGAUGGCAAGCUAGCAAAACCAAGACAGUUACAUAAUACGUUGUGGGGAAUGGUGUGUCCUGCUGAGACUCCAGAGGGCCGUGCUCUAGGACUUGUGAAGAAUUUAGCUCUGAUGGCUUAUGUUUCAGUUGGAGCUCAACCUUCUCCAAUUCUGGUAUUUUUAGAAGAAAGGAGUAUGGAAAUUUAGAAGAAAUUUCUCCUGCAGCUGUUGCUGAGU